rnacentral:rRNA from 1 species
GACGAACGCUGGCGGCGUGCUUAACACAUGCAAGUCGAGCGGUAAGGCCCUUUCGGGGUACGACGAGCGGCGAACGGGUGAGUAACACGUGGGUGACCUGCCCUCAGCUCUGGGAUAAGCCUGGGAAACUAGGGUCUAAUACUGGAUAUGACUCCACGGUGCAUGUCGUGGGGUGGAAAGCCUUGUGCGGCUGAGGAUGGGCCCGCGGCCUAUCAGCUUGUUGGUGGGGGGAU